GUGCCAGCCGCCGCGGUAAUACGGAGGGUGCGAGCGUUGUCCGGAAUCACUGGGCGUAAAGGGCGCGUAGGUGGCGCGGAAAGUCAACGGUGAAAGCUUGGGGCUCAACCCCGAGUCGGCCGUCGAUACUUCUGGGCUUGAGCACUGUAGAGGCAGGUGGAAUUCCGGGUGUAGCGGUGGAAUGCGUAGAGAUCCGGAAGAACACCGGUGGCGAAGGCGGCCUGCUGGGCAGUAGCUGACACUGAUGCGCGACAGCGUGGGGAGCAAACAGGAUUAGAUACCCGGGUAGUCC
rnacentral:rRNA from 1 species